rnacentral:rRNA from 1 species
AUUGAACGCUGGCGGCAGGCCUAACACAUGCCAGUCGAGCGGAUGAAGGGAGCUUGCUCCUGGAUUCAGCGGCGGACGGGUGAGUAAUGCCUAGGAAUCUGCCUGGUAGUGGGGGAUAACGUCCGGAAACGGGCGCUAAUACCGCAUACGUCCUGAGGGAGAAAGUGGGGGAUCUUCGGACCUCACGCUAUCAGAUGAGCCUAGGUCGGAUUAGCUAGUUGGUAGGGUAAAGGCCUACCAAGGCGACGAUCCGUAACUGGUCUGAGGGGAUGAUCAGUCACACUGAAACUGAGACACGGUCCAGACUCCUACGGGAGGCAGCAGUGGGAAAUUUUGGACAAUGGGCGAAAGCCUGAUCCAGCCAUGCCGCGUGUGUGAAGAAGGUCUUCGGAUUGUAAAGCACUUUAAGUUGGGAGAAAGAGCAGUAAGUUAAUACCUUGCUGUUUUGACGUUACCAACAGAAUAAGCACCGGCUAACUUCGU